AAGGAGUUAAAAAGUCCUUCCAGUCAGUUGCAACAACAAUUAAAGCAGCAGGAAACAGCCAAGUACACAUGCAAGUGAUUGUUAUGAGGAUUGCAAAACUUUUAAAUAUCAGAAACUGAAGAAAGCAUUUAUAAUCAGCAG
rnacentral:lncRNA from 1 species